GUGAGUGGAACCUCACGGGCCCAGCUGGGGGAGGGUCAGAGGGUGCCUGGGAGUUGGCAUGGGUUAAUGAGCAAAGCCUGGUAAGGAAUUGGGGGUCUUUGGGGGAGCUGGUGACCCUGGGGAGUACAGAAGGUGACCCUGGGGAGUACAGAAGGUGCCCAUGGGGACGGUAGGUGGGAGCUCUGCCCUAGAGACCAGUGGAGCCCCUGCCAAGCAGAAGGGCCUUGCUCAUUGGCUCCUGGGUCCUGCAAGGGUCUGGGUGGCUGUGGCUGAGCUCAGCAUGGGGUCACUUACCUGCUGCUCCUGAUAAUUCAUGACCGUCUGCACUGUCCCCUGAGCCCCAGCCUGGCCUGUCCCCAGCCUGCAGCUGGGCAGAUCUUUGCUCCAAAAGCUCAGCAGAGAGUGGCUCCUUACUCGAGGAAUGCAGGCUAGACUCUCCAGAGCUGAUGAUGAAAUGGGCUAUUUCUGCCCAGGGACACCAGCAGGCCCCUGGGUGCUGGCCCCAAGGCACACACCGUCAUGUUUUCAAAGUUUCCCUAGACAAAUGCUUUCCUUCCCACCUUGAGACAUUCUUAUCUGCUUCUACCUGCUCGAAUGGCUGUAGCAGUCACUCUGGAGGAACAUUGGGAUUGUGAGGAGGGUCCAGCUAAUCAGCAAGCAAUUUCUCACUCCCCAAGCUAUCCAUCACCCAGGCUGAUCUGGAUGUAAAAAUAGCUGCUGAGGCUGCUUGUUUAAUCUGACUGUCACUUGACACCACGCUGGUGUCGCCGGGUGGACUGUUUGCCUCUUCCGUCCGCAGUACACUGGUCCCCGCCGGGUCUCUGCCGAGAUCUCUGGACCAGGAACCAUUGUGCCUGCUCUUUGGUGACAGAGCUUGUUGAUGGGAACAGCUGUGUCUGGUGGCAGAAAGAGGCUGGCGGUGCAGAGGUCCUGUGAGCUGAGGGCUCUGGCCCCCAAGACAAGGCAUGUGGGGCAGGGGUUUGGGGACACAAGCUGGUGAAAGAGGACAGAAGAGGAGCUGGGAAUCCACCCAAGGCAGGGAUGGGGACCCAG
rnacentral:lncRNA from 1 species